rnacentral:rRNA from 1 species
AACGAACGCUGGCGGCGUGGAUAAGACAUGCAAGUCGAACGGGGAACUUUUUAAGCUUGCUUUGAAAGUUCCUAGUGGCGAACGGGUGAGUAACACGUGAGUUACCUGCCCCAAAGCGGGGGAUAGCCUCUCGAAAGGGAGAUUAAUACCCCAUGUGAUCGCAAGAUUAAAGGCGGCUUCGGCUGUCGCUUUGGGAUGGGCUCGCGGCCUAUCAGCUAGUUGGUGAGGUAAAGGCUCACCAAGGCGAUGACGGGUAGCUGGUCUGAGAGGACGACCAGUCACACUGGAACUGAGACACGGUCCAGACACCUACGGGUGGCAGCAGUCGAGAAUCAUUCGCAAUGGACGAAAGUCUGACGGUGCGACGCCGCGUGGAGGAUGAAGGCCCUAGGGUCGUAAACUCCUGUCAUCAGGGAGUAAAUGCUUAUAUAGUAACUGAUAUAAGUCUUGAUAGUACCUGAAGAGGAAGGGACGGCAAACUUCG